GGGAAUGUAGCUCAGUGGUAGAGUGCUUGCCUAGCAUGCAUGAAGCCCUGGGUUCGAUUCCUCAGUACCA
rnacentral:tRNA from 1 species